rnacentral:misc_RNA from 1 species
GACGGAGGGCGCGAGCGUUGUUCGGAAUUACUGGGCGUAAAGCGCGCGCAGGCGGGUCGGGAAGUCGGGAGUGAAAUACCGGGGCUCAACCCCGGUGCUGCUUCCGAAACUCCCGGUCUAGGGACCGGUAGAGGCCGGUGGAAUUCCCGGUGUAGCGGUGGAAUGCGUAGAUAUCGGGAAGAACACCAGUGGCGAAGGCGGCCGGCUGGGCCGGAUCCGACGCUGAGGCGCGAAAGCGUGGGGAGCAAACAGG